AUGUACGCAGUAGACAGAUGGCGGGAGUGCAGGAAGGAGCUGAAGAAGAUGGAGGCUCUCGCACAUGAGAGCACAAACAUGGCGGAGGACUUGCAAGUUUGCAAAAAUCGCAUGCUUAGUGAAUUGAGAAAUGCAGUAGGCGUAGUACGAUUAGUGGCCAAUGAUGGUGAGCGUGCACGGAUGCCGGAUCAGAGCAAACCAUAUAUUUUCCUGAGAUGGCCACAAUAUGAGAUGAAAUCACCAAUUCGGGUUCAGAGAGCCCAAUGGGGAUGUAUGAUGGGGCUAAUGCCACCAAAAACACCCAACCCACCACCAUGGGGGACGGAUAUGCCACAACCAGCACCGGUCGUAUGA
rnacentral:rRNA from 1 species